UACGGUAGGGGGCAAGCGUUGUCCGGAUUUAUUGGGCGUAAAGAGCGUGUAGGCGGUUUGGUAGGUCCGCUGUGAAAACUCGAGGCUCAACCUCGAGACGCCGGUGGAAACCAUCAGGCUAGAGUCCGGAAGAGGAGAGUGGAAUUCCUGGUGUAGCGGUGAAAUGCGCAGAUAUCAGGAAGAACACCCGUGGCGAAGGCGGCUCUCUGGGACGGUACUGACGCUGAGACGCGAAAGCGUGGGGAGCGAACAGG
rnacentral:rRNA from 1 species